rnacentral:rRNA from 1 species
GGAGGAAAGCAGGGGAUCGAAAGACCUUGUGCUUUUAGAGCGGCCGAUGCCUGAUUAGCUAGUUGGUGAGGUAAAGGCUUACUAAGGCGACGAUCAGUAGCUGGUCUGAGAGGACGACCAGCCACACUGGGACUGAGACACGGCCCAGACUCCUACGGGAGGCAGCAGUGGGGAAUUUUGGACAAUGGGCGCAAGCCUGAUCCAGCCAUGCCGCGUGAGUGAAGAAGGCCUUCGGGUUGUAAAGCUCUUUCGGUCGGGAAGAAAUAGUUAUGGCUAAUAUCCAUAACGAAUGACGGUACCGACAUAAGAAGCACCGGCUAACUACGUGCCAGCAGCCGCGGUAAUACGUAGGGUGCAAGCGUUAAUCGGAAUUAUUGGGCGUAAAGGGUGCGCAGGCGGAUGUAUAAGUCAGAUGAGGGAUCCCCGGGCUUAACCUGGGAAUUGCGUUGAUAAUACGGGGCUAGAAGGGC